GCAGUAUUGCCAUUAAAAGUUGUAUCGAACUCAAGUAGCAACGAUGAAGCUGAAACUUUAUUGGUACUGAAAAUCAAAGGAGUGAAAUUGAUAGUUCCAAAAAAGAGUCCUGCCCUGUACAUAUUAAGAAGACUAUUUGUGAUAAUAACUUAGAAAAAAUUGAUAUCAGCAACUAUCCUAUCAUUGAAAGCACUCGGAAAAAUGACAUUUUAGUAUUCAAGACCCUGAAGUUAAGUGCCAGUCUUUCGCCUACACUAUCUAAUUUAAUCCUUGCCCGUGUUUUGGAUACUUAUCCAGGAACUUUAGUCUUAUUUGAAAUCUUAGGGGGUGAAGAAGAAUUAGAUUUCACUACAGAUGGAUCCCUCAUGGAAGAGCAUAAAACCCCAAAUCCCUUGAUCAAAUUGAAUUGGACUGACUUAUAUGAGCCACGCCUUCUUUAUCCAUAA
rnacentral:lncRNA from 1 species